rnacentral:rRNA from 1 species
CUUCUUUUUCCCCGGAGCUUGCUCCACCGGAAAAAGAAGAGUGGCGAACGGGUGAGUAACACGUGGGUAACCUGCCCAUCAGAAGGGGAUAACACUUGGAAACAGGUGCUAAUACCGUAUAACAAUCGAAACCGCAUGGUUUUGAUUUGAAAGGCGCUUUCGGGUGUCGCUGAUGGAUGGACCCGCGGUGCAUUAGCUAGUUGGUGAGGUAACGGCUCACCAAGGCCACGAUGCAUAGCCGACCUGAGAGGGUGAUCGGCCACAUUGGGACUGAGACACGGCCCAAACUCCUACGGGAGGCAGCAGUAGGGAAUCUUCGGCAAUGGACGAAAGUCUGACCGAGCAACGCCGCGUGAGUGAAGAAGGUUUUCGGAUCGUAAAACUCUGUUGUUAGAGAAGAACAAGGAUGAGAGUAACUGUUCAUCCCUUGACGGUAUCUAACCAGAAAGCCACGGCUAACUACGUGCCAGCAGCCGCGGUAAUACGUAGGUGGCAAGCGUUGUCCGGAUUUAUUGGGCGUAAAGCGAGCGCAGGCGGUUUCUUAAGUCUGAUGUGAAAGCCCCCGGCUCAACCGGGGAGGGUCAUUGGAAACUGGGAGACUUGAGUGCAGAAGAGGAGAGUGGAAUUCCAUGUGUAGCGGUGAAAUGCGUAGAUAUAUGGAGGAACACCAGUGGCGAAGGCGGCUCUCUGGUCUGUAACUGACGCUGAGGCUCGAAAGCGUGGGGAGCAAACAGGAUUAGAUACCCUGGUAGUCCACGCCGUAAACGAUGAGUGCUAAGUGUUGGAGGGUUUCCGCCCUUCAGUGCUGCAGCUAACGCAUUAAGCACUCCGCCUGGGGAGUACGACCGCAAGGUUGAAACUCAAAGGAAUUGACGGGGGCCCGCACAAGCGGUGGAGCAUGUGGUUUAAUUCGAAGCAACGCGAAGAACCUUACCAGGUCUUGACAUCCUUUGACCACUCUAGAGAUAGAGCUUCCCCUUCGGGGGCAAAGUGACAGGUGGUGCAUGGUUGUCGUCAGCUCGUGUCGUGAGAUGUUGGGUUAAGUCCCGCAACGAGCGCAACCCUUAUUGUUAGUUGCCAUCAUUUAGUUGGGCACUCUAGCAAGACUGCCGGUGACAAACCGGAGGAAGGUGGGGAUGACGUCAAAUCAUCAUGCCCCUUAUGACCUGGGCUACACACGUGCUACAAUGGGAAGUACAACGAGUCGCGAAGUCGCGAGGCUAAGCUAAUCUCUUAAAGCUUCUCUCAGUUCGGAUUGUAGGCUGCAACUCGCCUACAUGAAGCCGGAAUCGCUAGUAAUCGCGGAUCAGCACGCCGCGGUGAAUACGUUCCCGGGCCUUGUACACACCGCCCGUCACACCACGAGAGUUUGUAACACCCGAAGUCGGUGAG